rnacentral:rRNA from 1 species
UACGUAGGGUGCAAGCGUUGUCCGGAAUUAUUGGGCGUAAAGAGCUCGUAGGCGGUCUGUCGCGUCGGCUGUGAAAACCCGGGGCUCAACCCCGGGCCUGCAGUCGAUACGGGCAGACUAGAGUGCGGUAGGGGAGACUGGAAUUCCUGGUGUAGCGGUGAAAUGCGCAGAUAUCAGGAGGAACACCGGUGGCGAAGGCGACUACCUGGCCUGUUCUUGACGCUGAGGCGCGAAAGCUAGGGGAGCAAACGGG